rnacentral:rRNA from 1 species
UACGAAGGGGGCUAGCGUUGUUCGGAAUUACUGGGCGUAAAGCGCACGUAGGCGGGCGAUUAAGUCAGGGGUGAAAUCCUGGAGCUCAACUCCAGAACUGCCUUUGAUACUGGAGAGCUUGAGUCCGGAAGAGGUGAGUGGAACUCCGAGUGUAGAGGUGAAAUUCGUAGAUAUUCGGAAGAACACCAGUGGCGAAGGCGGCUCACUGGUCCGGUACUGACGCUGAUGUGCGAAAGCGUGGGGAGCAAACAGG